UACGUAGGGUGCAAGCGUUGUCCGGAAUUAUUGGGCGUAAAGAGCUCGUAGGUGGCCUGUCGCGUCGGCUGUGAAAACUCGGGGCUCAACUCCGAGCUUGCAGUCGAUACGGGCAGGCUAGAGUUCGGCAGGGGAGACUGGAAUUCCUGGUGUAGCGGUGAAAUGCGCAGAUAUCAGGAGGAACACCGGUGGCGAAGGCGGGUCUCUGGGCCGUAACUGACGCUGAGACACGAAAGCGUGGGUAGCAAACAGG
rnacentral:rRNA from 1 species